rnacentral:rRNA from 1 species
UGCGGAAGGAUCAUUACAGAGUUCAUGCCCGAAAGGGUAGACCUCCCACCCUUGUGUAUUAUUACUUUGUUGCUUUGGCGAGCUGCUCUUCCGGGGCCUUGUAUGCUCGCCAGAGAAUAUCAAAAUCUUUUUAUUAAUGUCGUCUGAGUACUAUAUAAUAGUUAAAACUUUCAACAACGGAUCUCUUGGUUCUGGCAUCGAUGAAGAACGCAGCGAAAUGCGAUAAGUAAUGUGAAUUGCAGAAUUCAGUGAAUCAUCGAAUCUUUGAACGCACAUUGCGCCCCUUGGUAUUCCGGGGGGCAUGCCUGUUCGAGCGUCAUUUCAACCCUCAAGCUCAGCUUGGUAUUGAGUCCAUGUCAGUAAUGGCAGGCUCUAAAAUCAGUGGCGGCGCCGCUGGGUCCUGAACGUAGUAAUAUCUCUCGUUACAGGUUCUCGGUGUGCUUCUGCCAAAACCCAAAUUUUCUAUGGUUGACCUCGGAUCAGGUAGGGAUACCCGCUGAA